GCAAAGCAGGAAGGGGAAUUGGAUGUAUUUGUCCAUCUAGGGACAAAUGACUUGGCUUGCAAUGAGGUUUCAGAGGUAAAGGAAGUUUUUUGUGUUUUUGAAAACGAUAUACGGCAGGUUGCUUCCACACUGUCAUUCUCUCAAGUUCUGCCUGUGCAUAACACUCAGAUCGACAGGUAGAUGCGUAUUAGGGACUUUAACUUGUGGCUUGGUGAAUGGUGUCGGGAGCAAGGAUUUGGCUUCAUUUCUCAUGGUAGCUCUGUUUGGAAUGGAAAUAAACUGUAUAAAAAAGAUGAAAGAUAUUGGAUGAAUAAUCC